rnacentral:rRNA from 1 species
UACGAAGGGGGCUAGCGUUGCUCGGAAUCACUGGGCGUAAAGGGUGCGUAGGCGGGUCUUUAAGUCAGGGGUGAAAUCCUGGAGCUCAACUCCAGAACUGCCUUUGAUACUGAGGAUCUUGAGUUCGGGAGAGGUGAGUGGAAUUCCCAGUGUAGAGGUGAAAUUCGUAGAGAUUGGGAAGAACACCAGUGGCGAAGGCGGCUCACUGGUCCGAUACUGACGCUGAGGUGCGAAAGCGUGGGGAGCAAACAGG